GUGCUCGCUUCAGCAGUACAUAUACUAAAACUGGAACAAUAUAGAGAAAAUUAGCAUGGCCCCUGUGCGAGAAUGACACGCAGAUUUGUGAAGUGUUCCCUAUUUAA